rnacentral:rRNA from 1 species
UACAGAGGGUGCGAGCGUUAAUCGGAAUUACUGGGCGUAAAGCGUGCGUAGACGGUUAUUUAAGUCGGGUGUGAAAGCCCCGGGCUCAACCUGGGAAUUGCAUUCGAGACUGAAUAGCUAGGGUACGGUAGAGGGAAGCGGAAUUUCCGGUGUAGCGGUGAAAUGCGUAGAUAUCGGAAGGAACAUCAGUGGCGAAAGCGGCUUCCUGGACCAGUACCGACGUCAGGCACGAAAGCGUGGGGAGCAAAC